rnacentral:lncRNA from 10 species
CCAUGUGCAUCUCUCCUUCCUGACUGUCAAUCCUACUGAAUAUACACAUAAGCACACUCAGGCCAACAAAAGUUGCUUUACUGAGUUGUGCAGACCAGAUGUUUUAAUGGGUUGUGUCACUAUUAUCAUUCAGUUCAAAUUAUUUUUAAUUUCCUUCUUGAUUUCAUUGUUGAUCCAAUGAUCAUUCAGGUACAGGUUAUUUAAUUUCCAUGUAUUUUCAUGGUUUUGAGGGUUCAUUUUGGAGAUAUUUU